rnacentral:lncRNA from 1 species
GUGAACUUCUCCCAGGGCUGUUGAUGCUUCAUCUACUCUUCUGGCAGUGGGGGCCUGGACCUUAGUUACCCGGGGAGCGUGAGUCAUGUUGCACAGUUGAGCUGGCACAUAAAACUGCGAGNUCCAGUCCUGACUUCUUUCAGUGAUGAACAGCAAUGUGGAAAUUUUAUAGAGCAAGGAAUUGAAGCUUGGAGAAGAUUGAUGGACCACUCAAGUUCUCUGGAUGGUCCAGGAUGCAGACUGAGGCUGGCCUAAAACGUUAGUUUUGCUGACUCCCUGUGCUUGGCUAACCUUAGAGCCUCUUACCUUGCCAUAGUCUUUUCUAUGAAGGACAG